rnacentral:lncRNA from 1 species
AGCGAGUCGCGGUUUGCGUUUGGAGGUUAGCCACGGGGGAGCCGCUCCGUCUCGUCUCCAAGAAGUUCGGUUUAGGAAUCUCCACGUGCCACAAGCUCGUCCUCGAGGUAUGUAAAGCGAUUAAAGAAGUUCUAAUGCCUAAGUACCUUCAAUGGCCUGAUGAUGAGUCUCUAAGAAACAUUAGAGAAACAUACGAAUCGAUUUCGGGUAUACCGAACGUUGUUGGGUCUAUGUAUACCACUCACAUUCCGAUCAUAGCUCCUAAGAUCAGUGUAGCUUCUUAUUUCAACAAGAGACAUACCGAGAGGAACCAAAAGACUUCGUACUCGAUCACAAUCCAAGCCGUUGUGAACCCAAACGGCGUGUUUACUGACUUGUGUAUAGGAUGGCCCGGGUCAAUGCCUGAUGAUAAGGUGUUGGAGAAGUCGUUGUUGUAUCAAAGAGCUAACAACGGAGGUCUUUUGAAAGGUUUGUGGGUCGCUGGUGGGGCGGGUCACCCGUUGUUAGACUGGGUCUUGGUUCCUUACACGCAGCAGAAUUUGACUUGGACGCAGCACGCGUUUAACGAGAAGAUGAGCGAGGUGCAGAGAGUAUGGAAGCCGAUUUCAAAAAAGCGUUUCGAAUGUCCAAAUCGACGUUCGAGUUAAUCUGCGAGGAGCUGAACGCGGCGGUCGCGAAAGAAGACACCGCGUUGAGAAACGCGAUUCCCGUGCGGCAGCGAGUCGCGGUUUGCGUUUGGAGGUUAGCCACGGGGGAGCCGCUCCGUCUCGUCUCCAAGAAGUUCGGUUUAGGAAUCUCCACGUGCCACAAGCUCGUCCUCGAGGUAUGUAAAGCGAUUAAAGAAGUUCUAAUGCCUAAGUACCUUCAAUGGCCUGAUGAUGAGUCUCUAAGAAACAUUAGAGAAACAUACGAAUCGAUUUCGGGUAUACCGAACGUUGUUGGGUCUAUGUAUACCACUCACAUUCCGAUCAUAGCUCCUAAGAUCAGUGUAGCUUCUUAUUUCAACAAGAG